rfam:TPA: Bos taurus chromosome 13, whole genome shotgun sequence.
UCUCUGGUGGUCCAGUGGGUUAAGACUCUGAGCUCUCAAUGCAGGAGGCCCGAGUUCGAUUCCUGGUCAGGGAA